rnacentral:tRNA from 1 species
UGGGGGAUCGUCUAAUGGUAGGACAGUUGGCUCUGGACCAACCGGUCGGGGUUCAAAUCCCUGUCCCCCAG